rnacentral:rRNA from 1 species
GAUGAACGCUGGCGGCGUGCUUAAUACAUGCAAGUCGAACGGAGACAUUAGCAAUAAUGUCUUAGUGGCGAACGGGUGAGUAACGCGUUGGUGACCUGCCCCGAAGAGGGGGAUAACAGUCCGAAAGGAUUGCUAACUACCCAUGUGGUCAUUUGGAUUAGAUGUCCUUUUGACUAAACGGAUUUAUUCGCUUCGGGAUGGGCCUGCGUCCCAUCAGCUAGUUGGUAAGGUAACGGCUUACCAAGGCUAUGACGGGUAGGGGACCUGAGAGGGUCGGCCCCCCACAAUGGAACUGAAACACGGUCCAUACACCUACGGGUGGCAG